GGUGUCAAGCUUUGAUUUGGAGCAGGCAUUUUUGUGCUACUUCGACGAGACGACGCACGCCUUCGCGAACGCCUUCCUUCUUCUAAUCGCUCCAAAUCUAACUUCCAGAAACCUCCUUUGCCAGGCUCAUCUUUUGAUCGAGGGGAUGUAGUGUGAUGAUUAGAUGUCCGUGGCAAUAAAUGACCAUCAUGUGCUUACCUGCCAUGCGGGAUCGGCAUGUUUAUAAUACAUGAAGUUUUCCCGAAUCCAUCUAUAAAUGCUUGACAAAGUUAGUUUGUUGUUGUUAGCACGCAUAGCGAGGCAGAUUAGGGUUGCAUAUGAAAACGGAGGUUUUGCAUCCGAGUCCAAUCGGUAUUUUUCAGCAUUUUCAACAAGAUCUGUGAAAACAAAAUUGAAUAACUUGUUCAAAGCUCGUCGAGUGUAGCUCAGCUUUAAGCAGUGGUGACAUUUUUUUUGGUGCAUGCUGAGUAACCGGAGGUGGCGAAGGCGAGCAAGGUGGAGUUGGUAAAUUUGAGGCACUAGUGAUAUCAAGAGAUUGUAGCCAGGAGAGGCUUGUGAGCUCUGCUUCAACUCCGUAGCUCUCCGUAUCCAUGUUCUCUGACAGAGAUCCCUCAUCCGAGAGGCCUUCGAUCAUUUCAAUUCGCAUUCUCAAUAUGUCAUAUCACGGGUGGCCUGCAAGAUAAAAUGAACUUUGCCAUUCUAAGAAAUGUAGAAGUACUAAGAUGGAUGUACAAACUAAGUCCCAAUUUGGAUGUGAGACUGCAUUUGCCGCCAACUCCGACUCGCUGAUAAUGAGCAGAUUGAAAUCAAGAUGAAAGAACGUAUUCAGCGAACGCGUGGCUAUUGUGUCCGGCACAAGCGAUCGGUUGGUCGUACUCCGUAGGUCCGUCCGUGUGUCCGUCUGUCAGUUCGACACCAACACAAGUUAAUGGUACUACAUGGAGGAACGAUCAAUAAUCCUGGGAACAUCCCCCUGAGCUGGUUCUGUAGCACCUGCCAGGUUGCGCCAUCCAGGUUGACUCAUUGUAUUAUUCGACACAGAGAGGCAGAUAGAGAGAUAGAGAGAGGGAGAGAGAGAGAGAGAUAUUCCUUCUGUUCUUUGCCAGAGGUCAUGAUGUCUCACAGAAACAAUUGUCCGGUGACAUGUGAAACGAUGACUUUAUUAAUAUAUUACGUCAAACCCUCGAACCAGACGUGGACGUAUUUUACUGGGCGCGAUAUGCAGACCACGUCGUACACAUCAUCUGCAUCACAACCCGGCUAUAGUUGGACCCCGGGACCGACCAACCGACUAAUCUGCUUCUGGUUGACCGCUUCGCCUUCGCGCACAACUUCAAUGAAAUGAAGCGGCGGUGGUUCUCCUUUGGGACCAGCGCAACUCACACCUCCUCCUGCCUCCUGCCUCCUGAGUCCUCAUGUUCGACCGCCAUCUUCUUACACCGCAUCACCAGCAGCAGCAGCAGCCGCAGCAGCAGGUGUAUAUUCAGCUAUGGGUACGGUGAAUAUUGAUUAGAAUUCUGUCACCCUGUUCAGGCCAGCCAUCAGCUCUAUACCUGCGACACACGCUCUUCGACGUACACGCAGAAUGCGGCCACCUGUACCCGCAGUUUUUAUUAAUAUAUUUCCAUUUGGCACUCUACCCUCGAGGCGCCCGAGACUUCUAAGUAUGUGUUUAUUAUUAGUCUUCACUUAAAUAUCGCCGUCCUUCCUUAUUUACUCGGUUAUCUACAACCGGAUGGACGAUUUGGGACCUUCUGCGUCGUAGAUACCAUGCGGGCUCGCUGAUGGCUUUGCCAAAGAGGCGUUCACCUCGAAACUUGAGCUUUAGCUUUGCUUUUUUAAUUGUUAAAGGAUAAGGAAAAAAAAUUAACGAGAAUUGGGAGACAUUAGAAUUCAAAUGUUGAAUAAUCAGUUAUCUUUGUCCGAAACUAUCUCAUUCGUAUGAGACUUCUUAAAAUUUUUAGUCAAAGAUCAACUUACAAGUCGAAUCGUUUCGCAAAAUUUUCGGAUUUGCGUUGAAAUAAAAAUCAUCUGAUUUAAAUUAUCAGCCUGGGCUCUAGUUUUCCACGUUUACUACGCAAUUCAAAUAACGCGGACUGCUGCGCCCUUAGUAGAUGGCUCCUAAUUUAUUAAAGCGAUUGAUUAUUUUCUUACGUCUGUACACACCGAUAGCCCGCACGUCUCGAUCGGGCUGAUGGAUUUAAUAUAUUAUACUCUGCUAACGUGAUUGGCUUUCCCCAAUCAUUCAUUAAUUCAAUGUCUGAAUUAAUUAAUUAGAAAAAAAUAUUCCUCCCGCUUGGAGUAGUCUCGGAGCAAAGGAUAUUCGAUUGCAGUUACUGACGUUGACUCUGACGAUCAUACGGAAAUUCGAGUUCGGAUGGAUGACAUAAAAAUUUUUAGACUGUGUCGUGUGAACGAAACCGGUUCCAGUUGAUUGGGGCAUGAAGGUUGAUAAUUAUUACG